UUGCAUGUGUAAUUCUGAAACAACGGAGAGCGGCUUCGUUUCUUCAACUCCACCUAACUAGAGCAAAGAGGAGUGCGAAUGUGUUUGAUGGCGUAAUCCCAUACGAGUUUCCUAAAUCCACGACUUGGUUUCACCGCAUCUCGGCAAGACAUAUUUUUCUUAUUAAUCAAUUUCUUUUCGGUUUUUAAAUAGAUAUAACUUUUGGCUGUAUGGCAAUUUAUGUUCUACAACUGCCUGGUACCAUUUUCUUAUCCUCGAGAAACAACUUAUUGUUCGUGAAACUUUCAACAUAAAUAAAUAAAUUGAACAGAAUAA